GAGCCCGUCGAGAGACACGAGAAGCGCGCCAUCGGCGGAACUGCCCAGCACCUCUGGCUUGGGGUGGCGGGACGCAGCCACCCGGUCGACGCCUUCAGGCGAGAGGCCGUAGAUUCCCUGGACUCCAGGCAUCUGAGGGCUCUGUCUCCCCAGCGGCCUCAGGACAGAGCAAGGCCCCCAGCAGGUGCCUCGAGACUGCCACACACCUGCCAGAAGCAUUCAGAGUCGUCUGUGAGCCCUGAGCCUGGGCUCCUGAGGAGGAGGAUCCAAGGCUGGGAAACCAGGGCCCUUCCCUAACCUCUGGCCAGCCAUACCUGUGUUGGCCCUGACAGAAGCUGGGUAGCUGACUGCCCGGCCCCGCUCCGCUGUGACAGUCACCACAUAUUCUACGCCUGGCAUCAGGUCAGUCAGCAGCGUCCCGUCUGCUUCAGGGGGCACUUCCAGCCGCACCCUCUGGUUGCCGGCACUGACGUAGGACACCACAAAUCGGUCCACCUCAGCCUGGGGACGCAGCCAGCCAAGCUCCAGUGUUGUCGGUGUCACAGCCACCACUCGGAGGUCCUGGGGCCCAUCGAUCACUAGCCAGGUUAAAGAGGAGGGCUCAGGCUCAGAGAAGACCCAGAAUGUGACAGACGCCCAUACCGAGAGCAGAAUGGAUGAGCUAAGAACAUGGCCAAGCCUGGCACAGGCCAACUUGGCACCACCACCCUGGCUCUGAGUGAGGGAGAAAGUCUAGGGCUUCAACUGGAAAGCGGCGCCCUUGACAACACCAAGGAUCGAGUCCUGGCUAAGCUGAUGAAGAUGAGGAUGACAUGGCCCACACCCCAUAUGGCAUUUGUGGGAUGAUGCAGGAAAACAUGAGUUGGAUGGUAGAAAUGUCAGAAGAUUUGGAGCUGGGGAAACGACCAUAUCUUAAAAGCCCAGUCUGCACAAAGGGAGGCCCCAAAUAAGUGACUACAAGGCUUUGUCCUUAGGGUGUUCCCUCUAAUGUUUUAAGAGCAAGUUGGAUGGCCGGGAGUGGUGGCUCAUGCCUGUAAUCCCAGCACUUUGGGAGGCUGAGGCGGGCAGAUCACUUGUGCCCAGGAGUUCAGGACCAGCCUGGGCAUGCAACAUGGAGAAACCCUGUCUCUACUAAAAAUACAAACAUUAGCAGGCUAAGGUGGUGCACACCUGUAGUCCCAGCUACUUGGGAGGCUGAGGUAAGAGGAUGACCUAAGCCUGGGAUGCAGAGGUUGCAGUGAGCUGAGAUGGCACCACUGCACUCGAGCCUGGGCCACAGAGUGAGACUCUCUGUCUCAAAAAAAAAAAAAAAAAAAAAAAGAGCAAGUUGGAGGGAGACAGAGAAAAAACUGGUUUGCAUGUGCUGAUGACAAGGAGGUGGGAGAUGAAGUUCACAGACUCAAAAUUAUUGCAACAGCCUAGACAGCUUGGCCCAAACCAAAAAAGAUAACAUUGAACAGGGCCAAAUGCAAAGGCCUAUAUUUAGGUGAAAAAAAAAAAGUGUAUAUAGUUGAAUGUUGUCUUCUUUCCUUCCAUCUUUUUUCCCUGCUAAUCUGUAUUUUCUAAGUUUUCUGCACGGGGCCUAUAUUACUUUUAUAAUUAAAAGUUACUUAAAAAACCAAA